GCUUUGUCUGGUUAAUUCCGUUAACGAACGAGACCGCAGCCUACUAAAUAGUACGUGUUAUGGUAACAUAGUAUGAGACUUCUUAGAGGGACAUUUCGGGUUUACCAGCGGGAAGUUUGAGGCAAUAACAGGUCUGUGAUGCCCUUAGAUGUUCUGGGCCGCACGCGCGCUACACUGACGAAUUCAACGAGCUUUUAUUUCUUUGAAACUAAAUUCCUUUAUCGGAAGAUAUGGGUAAUCUUUUAAUGUGCGUCGUGAUGGGGCUAGAUUUUUGCAAUUAUUAAUCUCCAACGAGGAACC
rnacentral:rRNA from 1 species